CCUACGGGUGGCAGCAGUGGGGAAUAUUGGGCAAUGGGCGCAAGCCUGACCCAGCAACGCCGCGUGAAGGAAGAAGGCUUUCGGGUUGUAAACUUCUUUUCUAAGGGACGAAACAAGUGACGGUACAUGAGGAAUAAGCCACGGCUAACUACGUGCCAGCAGACGCGGAAAUACUUAGGUGGCAAGCGUUAUCCGGAUUUACUGGGUGUAAAGGGCGUGUAGGCGGGGACGCAAGUCAGAUGGUAAACCCACGGGGUCAACCUGUGGCCUGCUUUUGAAACUGUGUUGCUUGAGUACUGGAGAGGCAGACGGAAUUCCUAGUGUAGCGGUGGAAUGCGUAGAUAUUAGGAGGAACACCAGUGGCGAAGGCGGUCUGCUGGACAGCAACUGACGCUGAGGCGCGAAAGCGUGGGGAGCAAACAGGAUUAGAUACCCUUGUAGUC
rnacentral:rRNA from 1 species